AUAUAUAUGUUUCACUUGUACCUUGUAAAGAAAAAAAAAUGUUUAGAACGAACUAUCGAAAUACCUUUAAUGAAACAAAAUAAUUUUACAGAAUGUGACGAAGGGUUCUAUGGUUUUGAUUGUAAACAAGAAUGUAGCACACAUUGUAAAGUCUCUGGAGCGUGUGACCACGUGAUUGGUUCUUGUAAAGGUGGUUGUAAAAGUGGGUGGCAAGGUUUGGAUUGUCGGGAAGGUAAUAUUACUUUUGGUUUAAAAUACUGAUUUAAAUUAAUCUUUUGUUGAUUACAACUAACUAAUACACUUUUACACCAGUCAUUUUAGCAAUGUUUAUUUACAUUUUUUUUUAUUUAAUACCGAAACUUAGGGUAGUGUUUGGAUUAAACAUCCAUGGAUUUGUUGAAAAUAGGUUUCGAUUACACUGUGAGAUUUUCUAGAAUAUAUUUUCGUCCAAAAUCAUAUAAAAUAUAUAAUGUCCAUGCUUUAAUUUAAUAAAAAUUCUGAAAUUGCUAGUUUCAUUUUCUUCUACAGCUUACUUUGCCUUUGUAGUUAUCAAGUCACUCAGUAUUUGUCGAAAUAAAAAUUCUUAUUAGAAUAUCAUAUAGAAUUAAAAUACAAUGCCAAUAUUUUCACUUUAAUAUAACCCCAAACCCUAAAUUUUCCAAACAUUUCGAUUGGUUGAAUAGAACUUUUGUGCAUGUACUUGUGUGAUUGUCAGUUGAUAAUUAGAUGUCACAAGAUUCUCGGAAAUUCUCAAUCAGAAAUGAACAUUAAAUCUCCUCUUCGUGUUAAUCUAAAAAUAAAACAAUGUUAGCAAUGUAACUUUUAAGUCAUUAUAAUAAGUUUAAUAGUAAAAGAAAAAACAACGAUUUAUUCACAGGUGCUCUGUAUGAAAAAUACUCAUGGCAAUUAAAUAUAACAGAAAAAAUAUUAGAGAAUUUUAUAAUUCUUUUUUUUUUUUAACUUUACGGAAUGUGACAUUAGAAAGUUUGGCUUGGGUUGUGAGCAGAACUGUAGUGCAUAUUGUAAGAUACUGGAGUAUGUGAUCACGUGACUGGCUCUUGUAACGGUGGUUGUAAAAGUGGAUGGCAAGGGAAUAGUUGUUUUGAAAGUAAUUUUUUUUUUGCUUUGUUUUCUGUUUUUCUUGUCUUUAAUUUUAUGAUGAAAUGCUAUAGAUUUCAAUAGAUUUCAGUUAUACUUAUAUACAAGAUAAUUAUAAAAUAUAAAUAAUUAUAGUUAAUACCUGAAUUAUCGAUACAAUCGAUAUUAUCUGAAUUAUCGAAUAAUAACAAAUUUCAUUCAGCGUUUUGUAAAGCUUUCCGACUUUUUGUGUUGAAAAAUAACACAAAGAAUGCCUCGAAAUAAAAUGUAAAACCUUAAAAGUCAAGAAACUUUUGUGAAAUGUGCAUACAUGUACAUUACCUUCUAAAGACUGUAUUGCACAUGCUGUAAAUAUUGAGAAAAAGUUUUCGGUUCAAUGCAGUCCUAAUGACCGAAGCAUAAACGAUCGUUUAAAGAAAGACAUCAAGAAAAAAGAUAUAGCCUAGCCGGAAAAUGUUAAUCAAGUUUUUUUAAAGAAGAAGCUCUUUAUAUGAAAGUUGUUUGUUUAUGACAUAUUAUAUGCGUCGACAUUGAAAAGCCAAAUUUAUUUAAACUAUUACACGGCUGGCGCGAAAAAACUGCAAUAAAGAAUUCCUGCAUUGUUGUUGAGAGAGAGUUAAUGGAACAUUUGGCCAGAUAAAGAAGGAAUUUUCAAUAAGAAGAAAGAAGAUCACCUUCAUAUAUUACAUGUACGAGAGGGUUUUUUUUAGAAACCAAGGAAAAUGACGAACAUUCAAACAUCAAACUUUAAUCAAUCCAUGUAAGUGAUAUUCAAAAUUAAUGAAUAUAUGUGUACACACUGCAACUUGCAGGUAGAGACAAGGAAAUAUUUUUACUGGGACAUAUUUAAAUAAAUAUAUUUUGGAGCAUAUCUAAGCGAUCAUACAAAUUCAUUUUUCAAUAUAUAUACUUUCAUUACCUUAUAAGAAUAAUAUUUUUUUAAAAAUUUAUGUAGCCUGACACACUACGAACAACAGAUAUUCAUUAUACCCCCGCCUGAAAGGCGGGAGGGUAUAUAGUGAUCCGGAUUCCGUCCGUCUUUAUGUCGGUCCGUUCGUCUGUUACGCUUUUUCUCUUAUCCGCAACUCCUUUUAUACUACUGAGUGAAAUUUAAUGAAACUUUCACAGAAUCUUUAUUACAUAUUGCCAUUGUGCAUCUCCUAUUUUACUUCUUUAUUCGACACGUAUUUUACCUUUCCCAGAGCAAAACAUGGACAUUGCCAUUUUUUGUUUACCUAUGACGUCACAUAAUAGAAGCUUCUGGAUAACAUUUGAUUGGACGAGUUAUUCCUCUUUACACAUUACCGUAAAACAAUAUAUAGCAACACAUCGACAUUAUGGGAGGCGGGUGGUAUCAUUUAGUGAGCUCAUUGCUCACAGUACCUCUAGUUAUUCAUUGCAUUAAACUGCAUUUUGUAGAAAUAAUAUGUGUUGUUCAUAAAAAGAAAUAUUUUAGAAAAAAUAACAAAAUUUUUAAACUUUGUAAAGAAAAUUGAGUAAUUUACAAAUUUAAUAAAAUGAUAGAAAAAAAAGAAACGGUUGUGUAGUUGAAAAAUGUCAGCAUUUAAAGUUAAUCUUCCUUUCUUGUCCUUUUAUUAGAACUAUUGGUUUCCAAUUCUACCAGUGACUUGACUUAACUAACACUGCAAUUUCAUAAAAGAGUAUUCAAGUAUGCUUAUACAUUUUUUUUUUUAGUUUUUUGUGAAUUGUCAUCAAUACAGGCUCCAAAAAAUAUUUCAUUUUUAAGGAGGUAUUCUUGGAAUGUCUUUAAUUUAUUCACUGUUUCGGAGUUCCAAGACUGACUCCUCCAGUGUACAUAUCUUGUAGAGCUCUAAAAGUCAGCAUCUGGUCUCUGUAUGCUAGAGAAAUGAAGUUGACAUUCCCUUCUUUAGUCAGACAGAUAGCUGAAGUUUCGAGAAUGUUUAACCAAGAAAUAUUGCUAUCGAUUUAUGAGUUGACUAAUCAUUAUGGAGAGACUAUGAUUCAGUGUAUAAAAAGGGUCAACACCUAAACAUGAGUUAUAUUUAAAGACAUGCACAGUAACACUGGUUGAACAAGUUGAACGAUUCCAUUGUGGCACGAACAUGGUUACUAGCUGAACAUAAUUUUUCUUGAGUUGAGACUUACCUGGAACCUGUGGUGUCUGUUUUUUUUUCAUGAUAUGAAUAACAACGACACGAUAUUAUUUUUUUAACCAGAAAGACUUAGUUUUGGCUUUUUUGAAUAAGUUAUAUUGGUCACUUUAUUUUCACAAGCGAAAAGAUCGAGAUGAUUAAGCAUAAUACAAAUGAGUCCACUGGUCCUCUCCUGUCAAAAAAUGAUAAUGAUUCACUACUACUUUGGGAGAAGGCAUUAAAAUAGCUUAAUUGAGAAAGAAAACUGAAAAAAGUCAAUAUAUCAAAACCAUUUUGUCAUCAUUACGCAAUAAACAUGAUAAAUCAUAAAUCUAACCUACUUCCAAACCUAUAAUGAACAAACAAUUUGUCACAAACAGCGGGCCAGAUACAUGAAAAACUAUAUGGUAGGAACUGCAGGACCUGCAUUGUCAACCAUAUAAAAUGAAACAGAUGUGACUAGAAAUCGGGUGCAUGGCAAGCUGUGGUAAAAGAAGUUGAAAAGAACUCAACUUUGAGAAAAUUAUGAUUCGUAGAGUGUGACUUCAAUAUGUUCGGGAGGAUUGUAAUAAGCCGUGUGGAAGUUACCGGGAUGGAGCACAAUAUCAUCAUAUCAAUUGCACUUGUCUGUCUGGUUGCGACUCUGGUAACUUUGGAGAUGCAUGUAAUGAAGAGGCAAAGUAAACAGUUAAAAACGAUUGAUAAGUACAAAGAAGGCCAGGCAAACAGUAUGAAGACUACAGAAAGGAAAUAUGAUACGAUAAUGCGUACAUUCUUCAAACUCGGAUUAUCAGGAACUUAGAGUGAUGGGCCAACCGCCAACAAAUUAGCUUCCUCUUGGUUCUACUGGCAAAACUGUAUUUUCUUGAAUACUUUUUUCUUAUUAUUCACAUUUUAAAGAAAAAAAUUACAUUUUGAAAUUGUCUGCACUGAAAUUUAGUUUGUUUGUAUGAUAGACGGUUUAUGUUAUUUUUAUUUGACAACAUUGUUGGUGAUCUAUAUUGAUCUAAAAUUAUUAGAACAAAUAACACACGUGUGGUUUAGAUUUUUACUAGUCAGGAAAUGUGCAAAACGCCUAAACUUGUACUAUGUCUAUAAUAUUUUGCUGUGCAAAGGAUUGAUUGAUUGUAUAAUGUUUAACGUUCCUUUCCAGAAUUUUUUACUGAUAUGGAGACGUCACUAUUGCCUGUGAAGGGCUGCAAAUUUAGGCAUAUGCUAGGCACGUUUAUAUAUUUAUGAGAACAUGGCUACGACAGUAUGUACAAAGAUACGUAAAAUGGAGUUUAAAAGCAAAUAUCGGGAAUAUUAUGUGAAAUUCAUAUGAAGUUCGGAUUUGAACAUAUGAAAAGUUCGCCUUCUAAAAUACUUGGAAAGUGCUGCUUGAAUCCCGAGUUAAGCAUGGUUUAACGAAAAUUCUGGGUUCAUAUGUGUAAAAUAAAAUACAUAGGGUAAGGUUUCGAGCAGAUGUGUGUUAUAAUUAUUUUACUGACCGGACAGUGGGAUUCUAGCAGCACUUUUUAUGCAAAAUAGAUAUUUUUCGACUUUAUUAUUUACUCAAAGAAGAAAUUAAACCAUGAGGUAUUGUUUCUGUUAGCUUUUUUUUUUUAUUAAGGAACAUCUCGCUAUUGAUAGAAGUCAAGUAAUUAAUGUGAAUAAAAGAUACAUACAAAAAGAAAAGUAAUAAAUCUUAUUAAAAAUUAGAAAUGGCCGCUUAAAAUGUAAAACAAUAUGAAAAUUUCACGAAAAAAAUUCCAGGCAAAUCCUUUCUAUUAACAAAAUAUUCGUGACACAGUUGAAAGCUGAAUCCAGUUCUUAAAGUUGUUGAUUGUCGUAAAUAUUUUCAAUUGCAAAAUCGUCAAUUUUAUGAAGGGUCACGUCGUCUUUCUAAUGAUAAUAAGUCUUGUUAUAUCCUUCUUGCGAUUUUUUAAUCCUUCAAAAAAAUAAUAGGAAAAAAGCAUUUCAGAUUACAUAUCUCGAUUUUUAAAAGCAGUAUCUUUUUGAGUACUGUCUUACCUUUUCUUGAUUCUGUAAGAUAGGAACAGCCCAGUCAGAACGAUAACAACACAAAAUGGUACCAGAAUACCAUAAAAUGUGGCCCGGUAGUUGUCUUCAACUGAAAAAAAAUAAUAAUAGGGAAAAACAAAUUUGAUACUGAGAUUUCGGUUAUGUAAAGCAAAUAUUGAUAUACUGACCCCAUAGACAAGCAGGCCCAGUCACUCCAGCUUUACAGCCAAAUUUACAGACAUUAGUCACGUAAUGACAGUUACGUGAUACUUUACAAAAUGUACUGCAGACAUCUCUGCAAUGAAUCCCGUAAAAUCCAAGCUCACACACUAAAAAAAUAAAAUAAAAAAAAAAAUAAAUAAAAAAAAAAAA